CUGGACAGGACCUCUUUUGCAUGUAUGAGGAGGCCAAAUCAAUGCAACAUGAGGAGUGUCACAGAGGUCUGCAAGUCAUCCUGGGCACCUUGCUCCUUCCAUACCUGUUCAGAGAGAACCCCAAAGCACUUUAUGUGAUCAAUAGAAAGGAUCCAGAGGUUCCAACGCCGGUACUGGUCAUUACAGGGAACCCCUUCAUGGAGGCUUCUUUUGCUGUUCAACUCGACUUUCAGGAUGUCCUUACCCAAGAAGUUGAUGAGGUCACCCAGG